rnacentral:lncRNA from 1 species
GGUCGCGGCGGACGGAAGUUUUCGGGCCCGGAGCUGUGACUGCUUUGUUCUGAGCUCUCAUGUGGGAAACAUAAGAAGGAGCGCGGCACUUUGGGAGGCCCAGGCGGGUGGAUCACGAGGUCAAGAGAUCGAGACCAUCCCGGUCAACAUGGUGAAACCCCGUCUCUACUAAAAAUACAAAAAAUUAGCUGGGCAUGGUGGCACGUGCCUGUAAUCCCAGCUACUCGGGAGGCUGAGGCAGGAGAAUUGCCUGAACCCAGGAGGCGGAGGUUGCGAUGAGCUGAGAUCGCGCCAUUGCACUCCAGCCUGGGUAACAAGAGUGAAACUCCGCCUCAAAAAAAAAAAAAAAAAGAAGGAGCGAAGAUGGACACAUAAUGACAGGGACCCUCGGGGUGGCAGGAGCAGAUGGGUGACAGCUGUUUCCAGAUACGGACUGAUGACAAGAUGUUCCGAGAGCCAAAAGAUUCCCUGAAACCCAUUUUUGACAUAAUAACAGCAAAAUUGCCAUGAGGACAGCUUGAGUCAUCAUAUUCACUGUGGCACCCAGCUACUGAACCAUCCUGUUUCACAACCAAGCGCAGGGCUGGUAAAAAACGGCUGGAAAGGUAAGUGUCAGAGGCCGGUGGGCCUCGGAAACCCUCUUGACUGGGAGUUGACCCAGGUUUGUCCACAGCACUGGGAAACACAUUUCCUGACAGCCUGUUUUAGCUGAUGUGAGUUUGGAGGUGAUAACAGCUGACCAGCAUGUCUCUUAACGCUCUUAUAUUUUAUUUAUUAAAUGAAGUCUUAGUACUUCUUCCUCUUUUCCUGGGCUCCUAAGAGCACUUGUCUGCGCACGCAGGCCGGGCGCUGCUCUUUGAGAGCUCUGAUGCCGGCCGCUCCCCUGUGGCCUCUGCAGGCUCUCAGAGCCACACUGCCCCCAUGGCAUUACUGAGUGCUGGCUUACAUUAGUGGGCCUGACUUCUCCAGGGGUCACUGGUGUGGAUAACUGCUUCCCGGCUGGCUUGGGGGCUCCUGCUGGAAAUGUCCUGGGUGUGACUCACCUUCAUGCACUAGGCUAUGGGAGUCCUUGCCUUGGUGCAGCUGUAAUCAGGCUCCAGAAAUCAGGAGGAGAUGGUUAGAACACAGGAGAACACGGCAUCAUCAUCACACCAACCGCCUCGGGUUACCAGCUUGAGCCAGGACCUCUGAAACAGGGAAAGACUAUUAGUGAGCAGGACUCCCGAGCCCCUACAAACUCGUGUGCUGCAAAAGGGUCACCAGGGUGCCC